UGGUAGUUUACAGCCCAGCUGGACAGAGCAGAACCACUUUGGAUGAUGGCCCUCUGGAACAGUCCUACAGAAGACAGGCAGCACCAGGUGGCUUGCAUAGCCCAGGAGGAAGUCUAGAGGCUGAUCAUAGACCGUCGUCCCUCAGAAGAAGCCCACCUCACAGGCCACUACCCUGAAGUAACAUGUCCGUCUCACACUGAAAGAUUUCCCCUGUCCCAAAAGAACUAUUGUCCCCUCAGAGGGGACGCUCUCCCAAAUAAGACUCCCACGUCAGGAGGAGAAUCUUGCUUUCUCGGGAUGUAAAUGGGAUUCUCUCCCUUCCGUCUCUCACACUGGGAGAAGUACUUCUUCCCCCCAGAGAAACACGUGCUUUCCGCUUCUCCACACGGGAAACCAAGCUGGUAGAAGAGGGCACACUCAUUCCCUUGGGUGGCCCUGGGGUGAAGUCUGGGAAACCUGGGGCUCA